UGAAUGCACCAACUGCAAGUCGCUCUGGAUAAGAGCGUCUGCUAAAUGACUAAAA
rfam:Salmo salar isolate Sally breed double haploid chromosome ssa09, whole genome shotgun sequence.